rnacentral:ncRNA from 1 species
AGAAGACAUAGUGCUAACUUUGCCGGUAAUUCUUCCUAGACAUAUACGUGCAAGUAUCUGCACCGCAGUGUAAAUGCCCUUGAUCGCCUUGUUAAGGCAAAAGGAGUGGGCACCAGGCACACCUAAGUCGUAGCCCAAGACGCCUUGCUUAGCCACACCCCCAUGGGUACUCAGCAGUAACUAACAUUAAGCAGUAAGUGCAAACUUGACUUAUAGCGACACCUAGGGUUGGUAAAUCUUGUGCCAGCCACCGCGGUCACACAAGAGACCCAAAUUAACUGUAAUAUGGUGUAAAGAGUGGUAACAUGUUAUCAAGGCAACUAAGAUCAAAAUGUACCUGUGCUCUCAUAAGCCUAAGAUGCACCUGAAGCCACCCUCCAGAGGAUUUUAGCAUCCACAAUUAAUUGAACCUUACAAAAGCUAAGACACAAACUGGGAUUACAUACCCCACUAUGGCUACCCCUAAAUCUUGAUACUUUACUGAAGUAUCCGCCUGAGAACUAUGAGCGCAAACUCUUAAAACUCUAAGGACUUGACGGCACCCCAAACCCACAUAGAGGAACCUGUUCUAGAAUUGCUAACCCACAAUCCACCCAACUGUCCCUCACCAAGACAGACUACAUACUGCCAUCGCCAGCUUACCUCUCCUUAGAGCAUAACAGUGAAAAUAAUAGCCUCAACCCCACUAACAAGACAGGUCAAGAUAUAGCUUAUGAGACGGAAGAAAUGGGCUACGUUUUCUAAAACAGAAAACCUACAGAAAGAGAUGUGAAAUCAUCCCUAGAAGGCGGAUUAGCAGUAAAGCAGGACAAUAGAGCCCCCUUAAAUUGGCCUUGGGGCAUGUACGUACUGCCCGCCACUCUCGUCACAAGCUAUAAACUCCUAUAGCUAAUGUGCCCAUCAGCUGAAGAUGAAGUAAGUUGUAACAAGGUAAGUGCACUGGAAGGCGCACUUAGCAUACCAAGACA